rnacentral:sRNA from 1 species
GCUGGGUGUGGUGGUGCACACCUGUCAUCCCAGCUACUCAGAAAGCUGAGGUGGAAGGAUCACUUGAGCCAAAGAGUUCAAGAUUAGCUUGGGUAAUUUAGUGAGGCCCCAGCUCCA